rnacentral:rRNA from 1 species
GCUUUGAUUUCUUUAGUUGAAGAGAACUGGAAAGUUCCGUCGUAGAAGGUAAUAACCCUGUAGGCGAAAAGGAAAGAAAAGUAGAUCUACUCCAGAGUACCACGAGACACGUGAAACCUUGUGGGAAGCUGGGAGGACCAUCUCCCAAGGCUAAAUACUACCUAGUGACCGAUAGUGAAGCAGUACCGUGAGGGAAAGGUGAAAAGAACCCCGGAAGGGGAGUGAAAUAGAAUCUGAAACCGUGUGCCUACAAUCGGUCGGAGCACAUUAAAGUGUGACGGCGUACUUUUUGUAGAACGGGCCAGCGAGUUACGAUAUAUAGCGAGGUUAAGCACUUAUGGUGUGGAGCCGAAGGGAAACCGAGUCUGAAUAGGGCAACUAGUUGUAUAUUGUAGACCCGAAACCGGGUGACCUAUCCAUGGCCAGGAUGAAGCGGAAGUAAAAUUCCGUGGAGGUCCGAACCACGUUGGUGUUGAAAAACCAUGGGAUGAGCUGGGGAUAGCGGAGAAAUUCCAAUCGAACUCGGAGAUAGCUGGUUCUCCUCGAAAUAGCUUUAGGGCUAGCGUCGGGUAAUUGAGUAGUGGAGGUAGAGCACUGAAUGGGCUAGGGGCUGACAACAGUUACUGAACCCUAUCAAACUCCGAAUGCCAUAUACUUGUACCCCGGCAGUCAGACUACGAAUGAUAAGAUCCGUGGUCAAAAGGG